rnacentral:rRNA from 1 species
AGGAUGAACGCUGGCGGCGUGCCUAAUACAUGUAAGUCGAACGGGGACUUUGUAUUCGUACAAAGCCCUAGUGGCGAACGGGUGAGUAACGCGUUGGUGACCUGCCCCGAAGAGAGGGACAACAGCUCGAAAGGGCUGCUAAUACCUCAUGUGGUCGUAAGAGUUAGAGGUCUUACGUCUAAAUGGAGCAAUCCGCUUCGGGAGGGGCCUGCGUCCCAUCAGCUUGUUGGUAGGGUAAUGGCCUACCAAGGCUACGACGGGUAGGGGACCUGAGAGGGUGGCCCCCCACACUGGCACUGAAACACGGGCCAGACACCUACGGGUGGCAGCAGUAGGGAAUAUUGCACAAUGGGCGAAAGCCUGAUGCAGCAACGCCGCGUGCACGAUGAAGGCCUUCGGGUCGUAAAGUGCUUUUCGGGGAGAUGAGAAUGGACAGUAUCCCCGGAAUAAGGAUCGGCUAACUACGUGCCAGCAGCCGCGGUAAAACGUAGGAUCCGAGCGUUAUCCGAAUUUACUGGGCGUAAAGCGCAUGCAGGCGGUUCGGUAAGUUGGAUGUGAAAUCUCCUGGCUCAACUGGGAGAGGUCGUUCAAUACUGUCGGACUAGAGGGUGGUAGAGGGAGGUGGAAUUCCCGGUGUAGUGGUGAAAUGCGUAGAUAUCGGGAGGAACACCUGUGGCGAAAGCGGCCUCCUGGACCAUUCCUGACGCUCAGAUGCGAAAGCUAGGGGAGCGAACGGGAUUAGAAACCCCGGUAGUCCUAGCUGUAAACGAUGUGGACUUGGCGUUGGUGGGGUAAAAGCCAUCAGUGCCGAAGCUAACGCGAUAAGUCCACCGCCUGGGGACUACGGCCG